GAUGAACGCUGACGGCGUGCUUAACACAUGCAAGUCGAAGGGAGUGGCGAACGGGUGCGUAACACGUGAGUAACCUGCCCUUUUCUUUUGGAUAAGCCUGGGAAACUGGGUCUAAUACUGGAUGGUUUGGGAUGGGCUCGCGGCUUAUUAGCUUGUUGGUGGGGUGAUGGCUUACCAAGGCUUUGACGGGUAGCCGGCCUGAGAGGGUGAUCGGUCAAACUGGGACUGAGAUACGGCCCAGACUCCUACGGGAGGCAGCAGUGGGGAAUAUUGGACAAGGGGCGCAAGCCUGAUGGAGCCAUGCCGCGUGUAUGAAGAAGGCCUUCGGGUUGUAAAGUACUUUCAGCGGGGAGGCGUUACCCGAAGAAGAAGCACCGGCUAACUCCGUGCCAGCAGCCGCGGUAAUAC
rnacentral:rRNA from 1 species